UUGGUCAUGCUAGAAAGAGCGUAUGGUGGAUGCCUUGGCACUAAGAGCCGAUGAAAGACGUGAUAAGCUGCGAAAAGCUUCGGGGAGGAGCAAAUAUCCUACGAUCCGGAGAUCUCUGAAUGGGGAAACCCACUUGAGCAAACCUCAAGUAUCCUUAACCCAAUUCAUAAGUUAAGGAAGGGAACCCGGUGAACUGAAACAUCUAAGUAGCCGGAGGAAAAGAAAGAAACUUCGAUUUCCAAAGUAGCGGCGAGCGAAAUGGAAUGAGCCUAAACCAGUGUGCGUGCACGCUGGGGUUCGGACCGCGUAAUUGAUUCAUGAGUCUUAGCAGAACGGUUUUGGGAAAGCCGGCCAAAGAGGGUGAAAGCCCCGUAAGCGAAAAGACAAAUGACAUGGCGGGAUCCAGAGUACCACGAGACACGUGGAACCUUGUGGGAAUAUGCGGGGACCACCCCGUAAGGCUAAAUACUCCUUAGUGACCGAUAGCGCAUAGUACUGUGAAGGAACGGUGAAAAGAACCCCGUGAGGGGAGUGAAAAAGAACCUGAAACCAUAUGUUUACAAGCUGUGGAACAUCCAUAUGAGAUGAACCGCGUACUUUUUGUAGAACGGUCCGGCGAGUUACGCCGGCUGGCGAGGUUAAGUCCUUAAGGGAUGGAGCCGAAGGGAAACCAAGUCUUAAUAGGGCAAGCGAUACCCAUAGGGUACCGCAAGAGUCAGUCGGAGUAGACCCGAAACCGGGUGAUCUAUCCAUGUCCAGGAUGAAGCUGCCGUAAAAGGCAAUGGAGGUCCGAACCCACAUCCGUUGAAAAGGGUGGGGAUGAGGUGUGGAUAGGGGAGAAAUUCCAAUCGAACCCGGAGAUAGCUGGUUCUCCUCGAAAUAGCUUUAGGGCUAGCCUCAUACAAGUCUUGCGGAGGUAGAGCACUGAAUUUCCUAGGGGGCGUCAAAGCUUACCGAAGAAUAUCAAACUCCGAAUGCCGCGUAGAUGAUGUAUGGGAGUCAGACUGCACGAGAUAAGUUGGGUAGUCGAAAGGGAAAGAGCCCAGACCUACAGCUAAGGCCCCAAAAUGUAUGUUAAGUGGAAAAGGAUGUGGGAUUUCAAAGACAACUAGGAUGUUGGCUUAGAAGCAGCCAUACAUUCAAAGAGUGCGUAAUAGCUCACUAGUCGAGAGGUCCUGCGCCGAAAAUGUCCGGGGCUGAAACAUACUGCCGAAGCUUAGGAAUCAGAAAUGAUUGGUAGAGGAGCAUUGGAUACUGGAGGAAGCAGUACUGAAAAGAGCUGUGGACGGUAUCGAAGAGAGAAUGCCGGAAUGAGUAGCGAGAGGAAGGUGAGAAUCCUUCCGGCCGAAUAUCCAAGGUUUCCAGGGUAAAGCUGAUCUGCCCUGGGGAAGUCGGGACCUAAGGCGAGGCCGAGAGGCGUAGCCGAUGGACAACAGGUUGAGAUUCCUGUACCACAAUUUAACAGAACUGUGGGGACACGUGUGGAAAGCAUAAGCCGGGAAUGAAGAAACCGGCGCAAGCGAGGUAGGAGGUACAUUGGCAAAUCCGUGUAUCAAUCUGAAGACGUGAUGCGGACCGAAUUAAGAGUAGGGAAGUAUGUGAGCCAUGCGUCAAGAAAAGCCGCUAUAGUUUGAAUUGUGCCCGUACCGUAAACCGACACAGGUGGAUGAGGAGAGAAUCCUAAGGCCGACGGGAGAAGCAUUGUCAAGGAACUCGGCAAAAUGACUCCGUAACUUCGGGAGAAGGAGUGCCAGGUAAGACUGGCCGCAGAGAAUUGGCCCAAGCAACUGUUUAGCAAAAACACAGGUCUGUGCAAAACCGAAAGGUGAAGUAUACGGGCUGACGCCUGCCCGGUGCUGGAAGGUUAAGAGGAGAGGUUAGCGAAAGCGAAGCCUUGAAUUGAAGCCCCAGUAAACGGCGGCCGUAACUAUAACGGUCCUAAGGUAGCGAAAUUCCUUGUCGGGUAAGUUCCGACCCGCACGAAAGGCGUAAUGAUUUGGGCACUGUCUCGACAAUGCACCCGGUGAAAUUGAAGUACCAGUGAAGAUGCUGGUUACCCGCGCCAGGACGGAAAGACCCCAUGGAGCUUUACUCCAGCUUGAUACUGGGAUUCGGUAUUGCAUGUACAGGAUAGGCGGGAGGCUGGGAAGUGGUGACGCCAGUUGCCAUGGAGCCGCUGUUGGGAUACCACCCUUGCAGUAUUGGAUUUCUAACCAGAGGCCGUAAGCCGGUCUGGGGACAAUGUCAGGUGGGGAGUUUGACUGGGGCGGUCGCCUCCGAAAGGGUAUCGGAGGCGCUCAAAGGUUCCCUCAGAAUGGUUGGAAACCAUUCGCAGAGCGCAAAGGCAGAAGGGAGCUUGACUGUGACACCGACGGGUGGAGCAGGUACGAAAGUAGGACUUAGUGAUCCGGUGGUAUAAAGUGGGAUUGCCAUCGCUCAACGGAUAAAAGCUACCCUGGGGAUAACAGGCUUAUCACUCCCAAGAGUUCACAUCGACGGAGUGGUUUGGCACCUCGAUGUCGGCUCAUCGCAUCCUGGGGCUGAAGUAGGUCCCAAGGGUUGGGCUGUUCGCCCAUUAAAGCGGUACGCGAGCUGGGUUCAGAACGUCGUGAGACAGUUCGGUCCCUAUCCGGCGCGGGCGUAGGAUAUUUGAGAGGAGCUGUCCUUAGUACGAGAGGACCGGGAUGGACUGGCCGCUGGUGGAUCUGUUGGCUAAUCAAGGCCAUGGCAGAGUAGCCAAGCCGGGAGGGGGAUAAACGCUGAAGGCAUCUAAGCGUGAAGCCCCCCCUCAAGAUGAGAUAUCCCUACUGUCAAGGUAGUAAGACCCCUUGAAGACGACAAGGUAGAUAGGGCGGAGGUGGAAGUGCAGUAAUGUAUGGAGCUGACCGCAACUAAUCGGUCGAGGGCAUGACCAAA
rnacentral:rRNA from 1 species